UAUCUGCCCUUCCCUGCUCGAUCAUGUGAAUUAUUUGCGAUCGCAAUUACGACAGGACUGGUUAUCUACGUGCCGCGACGGCGUCGACGACUCCGACAACGCCAGUAGGCUCGUAAUUCGCUCGUUGCAAUUGCAUCUCCCACCCACUCGCGCGUCCGUUGCACCGCGCGCGACGACGGCCCCGCAUGCGACCAAAGCGGUGGCGUCUCGCGACGGUCCGUGUAUCGCGACGAGAGUCGUCUCUAUUGUCUCUUACUUUCCACGGGACAUCGUCGUGUUUCCAGAACAAUCGGACGGAUUGUUUGGCAAAUCAGGGGAGUUACGCAAAUUGCGAAAUCGAGGCUGUGUGCUCAACUUUCGUGGAAAGUGUCUUUACUUGAGGUCACUUUCAUACUCUCAUACUUUCAUACUUUCAUAUUUCAAGUUAUUUUCAUGAAUAUAUAAACUCGAAAGUUGUUGCACAGCGCACAGUAGAUCAGUGACCCGUUAAAUUUAAUGAAAAAUACGAAAGUUCACGUAAGGUCCAAACAUAACUAUUGUAUUUGUUCCGUCACUUUCACGUCACUACCAUGAGAGCUGUUUACUUAUGUCGAUGUCGAGUGUGACGCUCGCAAAGUAUCAGAAAUACACCGAUUGUAUCAGGGUAAUUAACUCACGACUCUCUCGUGAAGUUUCUUCAUUAUGCUUGAUUGCUUAGAGACGUUAACUAACGGCCAAUCAAGGUCACAUAUAUCGGCGGAUCCUAGUUGUUUAUAUGUAACGCGUGUCAAUACAAUGAUCCUCGAAAAUGAUAUAAAGACUUGUCAGACAAUAUUAGUAUAACGUCCAGUUCAAUAUAUUCUGGCACAAUUAUUCUUUUGUGUUGUUGUUUCUUCAUUCCACGAAUGAAGAAACUUGAAUACGAUUGAUCUGAAAUAUCCCAGUUUCUCCUUUCCGUGCGACAUCUACACAGGAAUCUUUAGAACCACCACUCCGAAACUUUUGAUACUACUUUUUACAGAUUUUAAGUAAAGAUAAGCAAAUUAUAUUUGCAGCAUAUCUUUUUUUAUUACGCCAAUAAACACAGAGUUUUGUGUCUUUAAUUUAACACACAUGUACUGGGUUACAAUACAAAAUGUGAUUCCUGUAGUGGGUUACAUCCAAACGCUGGUUUAGACAAUACGCAUAAACGUAAUCUUGAAUCUACAGCACAACUCUGUUUCAAAUAAUCAGUUGUGUAUGCAUUGAUUUUGGCGGUCGGUCAUUACUCGCGUCUUUGACAUUUGCUCGCUGAUCGCAGCGCGACGAGUCAUAACCUCGAUCCGCACGGCAUUACGUGGCCGUCGAUCUCACAAAAGUAUACCGUAUAUACAUACGCGAGACAACUUUACACGUGACGGCAUAGCGCGGCCAUUUCACGCACGAGAAGGCGUUUACAUAAUAGAUCAGUUAACGACGGGCGCGUAAACCCGCGGCGACGAUCGACGUGCGAUAUUGAUCCUUCUCUUCUUUUUCUUUCCCUUACACAUUGACACAUUUAUGGCACAAAGGUCCCACCCACGAAAUCCCAUUAACGCGUCGCUAGGCGCGCUCCGCCAAAACUGCAAGCGCCGCUGAUCGAUAGCUGUCGCCUUCCCCCGUGCACACGAUAGACGUGCUGCAUUUCUCGAGGGGAAAUCCCACACUGCAGACCCUGGUAAUUGGCAAAAGGUCGGCUGCGGAAAUGCUCGCUUUCGGAAACUGCGAAAAGACCAAAUCAUUUCGAACUCACAAAAUCUGUUGUAAAAAUUUCUCUGAAAAAUUAUUUUGUAUUCCCACUAGAUUUAAAUUAUUAUAUCCAACAUCCAGCGACGAUUUUUACACUGAGAAAAAAAAUGGUUGCUCUAGUGAAAAGUGAUAGUAGUAAUAAUGGUGUGCAACUAAUACUACGUAAAAUUUGUAGAGCAGAUCACUAUGGUGUCGCGUCAGAAUAGGUAUUGAAUGAAAUAAUAAGGCUGAAAGUAGGAUCACAAUUUCAACUCGGGUGCACACGAUACAGUCAAUAUUAAGGAAACAAUAACGCAGGUGUUGUUGGCCUACACUUGCUCAUACAUACAUAUAUACUCGAAGGAAAGAAAAGAGAUUAUCUAGUCGAGAGCGUGCUUGUUUCCUGCAUAUAUCUGGAUCAAUAUUUCACACGUUUACUGGUGCACACAAUGCACAUCGUGCAUCGACGUGCUGGAGGGCCCUUUGACUUGGUCUCGGGAGAGAUAGUGGCAUUAGAACUUCCUUAAGUCAGUGGAAUUGGGGCACCUUGUACGUACGUGCAGACAAAAUUGUGACAGUCGCCAGACACCUUCGAAGUUAACCGGAUUGAAGCCUUAUGCAACGAUUCCGCUUACAAAUCGUCCUCAAACACGAGUUCCAGCUCCAGUCGCGUAAUCACAUAAGCGUUGUUAAUGAUAUUUCAUACUUUUUUAAAGAUAUGCGGAUAAGCGGAUUGUAAACACAUUUUUAUAUGUGUCUCUGUGAGGAAGAAAUUAUUUUCUAAAGUAAAACGAUUAUUAAAACAAUUAGCGAUUUUUAUACAUCUUCAGUAGCUUAACAUUAGUACAAAUAUUCUUCUUUCAUCAAAAGAACCAAACGGUCAUUUUUUUAUCGCAAAUAGAGAUGCCCAAUAUUUCACCAAAGUUUCGUAACAUGUAUGUUUGUUGAAUGAUAAAGCUGAAAAUGUAAUAAUGAAGAAUUUAAUAAUGAAGAACAAUAUAAUAUUUUCAGCUGUAGAAAUGUGUAAAAAUCAAUAACCGAUAAUAACUUCUGACUACUUGGUACUUAUAGAUAGUCAAGUGAAUCAACAUGAAAAUAGAGAAAAUAAUGAAAAAUCGGCUAUUCUAUUAAAAUAAAAGAAAAUAAAUAAUGUAUAGACAGAAAAUUCAAUAUCUCGUUCCUUUUAGGUGAAAAAUAGAAUAUUAUUUUAAGAAACAAAAUGACAGCUCGUUGCUUCUAGUGCUAAACCUUUGACCUUUGACCUUUUUGGUGUCAUGGUAACGUCUGUAUUUCUGUGUAAGUUUACACAGAACACAAGACAAUCAUUCUAAAAUUUUAAAUUUCAAUAAUGUUUUAUAAUUUUACUUGAAUAUUAUAAUAGUCUCAUAAGAAAUAUGAUAUAAUUAUUUUGGUGAUAAUAAUAUGCUCUUCCGACAUUUAAAAAUAUCAUGUUCAAUAUUUUAUACUUUCCAUUUGUAAAAAUUAUUCUUAAAUAAUAAAAGCAUAUAUUUCUCUUUGUUGAAACAUAUACGUAGGAAAUGUAUUUAUGCGAGUAACUUUGUUUAACGCUAUGUAAUCACAUUUUAAGAUUUACAUGUCAAAGAUAAAGAUAUAUUUAAAACAAGAA